rnacentral:rRNA from 1 species
AUUGAACGCUGGCGGCGUGCUUAACACAUGCAAGUCGAUCGGUAACAGGUGUAGCAAUACAUGCUGACGAGAGGCGGACGGGUGAGUAAUGCUUGGGAAUCUGCCUAUUAGUGGGGGACAACCCGGGAAACGUACGGGCUAAUACCGCAUACGCUCUACGGAGGAAAGCCGGGGACCGGCAAGGCCUGGCGCUAAUAGAUGAGCCCAAGUCGGAUUAGCUAGUUGGUAGGGUAACGGCCUACCAAGGCGACAAUCCGUAGCUGGUCUGAGAGGACGACCAGCCACACCGGAACUGAGACACGGUCCGGACUCCUACGGGAGGCAGCAGUGGGGAAGUAUUGGACAAUGGGGGCAACCCUGAUCCAGCGACGCCGCGUGAGGGAUGACGGCCU